CAGGCACUCCAGCAUAUUCCAAAAUGUACGCAAUUUUUAUUGGAACAAGGAACCAAAAGGCAACGUUUUGACCCCUUAGGGCUUUUGUCAAGCUUGACAAAGGCCCUAAGGGGUCGAAACGUUGCCUUUUGGUUCCUUGUUCCAAUAAAAAUUGCCUACAUUUUGGAAUAUGCUGGAGUGCCUGGAUUAUUCUUUAUAUUU